rnacentral:tRNA from 1 species
UCAUAGCUUAGCUGGAUAGAGCGUUCGGCUACGAACCGGAAGGUCGGGGGUUCGAAUCCCUCUGGGUGC